UGGCGGACGGGUGAGUAACGCGUAAAGAACUUGCCCUUUAGACUGGGAUAACAGAGGGAAACUUCUGAUAAUACUGGAUAGGUUAGUAUAUCGCAUGAUAUGCAAAUGAAAGCUACGGCACUAAAGGAGAGCUUUGCGUCCUAUUAGCUAGUUGGUAAGGUAAGAGCUUACCAAGGCGAUGAUAGGUAGCCGGCCUGAGAGGGUGGACGGCCAAAAGGGGACUGAGAUACGGCCCUUACUCCUACGGGAGGCAGCAGCU
rnacentral:rRNA from 1 species